rnacentral:lncRNA from 1 species
CUUCACAAUGAAAGGUUAGAAGACAUCAAGAGCUUCCUGGCAGCAUAAUUGACAGGGAUUUGUGGAGAAAAUCCAUGUAUAAACAUAACAGGCAGUCACUGUGUCCUGAGACAACGUGAGGAUGACAGAUUUGAAGAACAAAUGUUAAAGAGCUACGGUGUCAUUUAUGAUUACAUCUUAUGAGAAGAUAAUUACAAGUGGAACUGCUUUUUUAGGCUUGCAAAAGGAGAGGAUGCCAUGCUGCUCGGCAUGACCACGCUGUGCAGGAAUGGUCACUCCAGUCAGUCUUCUCCAAAGUCACCAGCCUAGUCGACUUGAGGAUCUUGAUCACUUGAAUGUCAUCUGAGUGUGGUGUCAUCUGUGACUUCUGAGCGUUUCAUGAGACACUGAUGUGUGCCGUUCUCCCCACCGAUGGUACUUCUGACAUGCCAGGGAAGAUCACGACAACGGAGGAGCGGAGCCACUUACCUGUGAGCCACUUGUUCCCGAGUGGAUGCCUUUGACAGAGAAGUAC